rnacentral:rRNA from 1 species
AGCGAACGCUGGCGGCAGGCCUAACACAUGCAAGUCGAACGAACCUUUCGGGGUUAGUGGCGGACGGGUGAGUAACACGUGGGAACGUGCCUUUAGGUUCGGAAUAACUCAGGGAAACUUGUGCUAAUACCGAAUGUGCCCUUCGGGGGAAAGAUUAAUCGCCUUUAGAGCGGCCCGCGUCUGAUUAGCUAGUUGGUUGAGGUAUUGGCUCACCAAGGCGACGAUCAGUAGCUGGUCUGAGAGGAUGAUCAGCCACAUUGGGACUGAGACACGGCCCAAACUCCUACGGGAGGCAGCAGUGGGGAAUCUUGCGCAAUGGGCGAAAGCCUGACGCAGCCAUGCCGCGUGAAUGAUGAAGGUCUUAGGAUUGUAAAAUUCUUUCACCGGGGACGAUAAUGACGGUACCCGGAGAAGAAGCCCCGGCUAACUUCGUG